rnacentral:rRNA from 1 species
GACGAACGCUGGCGGCGUGCUUAACACAUGCAAGUCGUACGGUAAGGCCCUUUCGGGGGUAGACGAGUGGCGAACGGGUGAGUAACACGUGCGUAACCUGCCCACAACUUUGGGAUAACGCUAGGAAACUGGUGCUAAUCCUGGGUAUGUGCUCCUUCUGCCUGGUGGGGGGUGGCAAGCUCCGGCGGUUGUGGAUGGACUCGCGGCCUAUCAGCGUGGUGGUGGGGUAGUGGCCUACCAAGGCGGCGACGGGUAGCCGGCCUGAGAGGGUGACCGGCCACAGUGGGACUGAGAUACGGCCCAGACUCCUACGGGAGGCAGCAGUGGGGAAGAUGGCACAAUGGGCGCAAGCCUGAUGCAGCAACGGCGCGUGCGGGAUGACGGCGUUCGGGUUGUAAUCCGCUUUCAGCAGGGACGGAGCUGUUUGUGACGGUACCUGCAGAAGAAGCACCGGCUAACUACGUG